rnacentral:rRNA from 1 species
AGAGUGAACGCUGGCGGCAGGCCUAAUACAUGCAAGUCGAACGGCAGCACGGCAGAGCUUGCUCUGUGGGUGGCGAGUGGCGGACGGGUGAGGAAUACAUGGGAAUCUGCCCAGUCGUGGGGGAUAACGUAGGGAAACUUACGCUAAUACCGCAUGCGCCCUUCGGGGGAAAGCCGGGGACCUUCGGGCCUGGCGCGAUUGGAUGAGCCCAUGUCGGAUUAGCUAGUUGGCGGGUAACGCCCACCAAGGCGACGAUCCGUAGCUGGUCUGAGAGGAUGAUCAGCCACACUGGAACUGAGACACGGUCCAGACUCCUACGGGAGCAGCAGUAGGGAAUAUUGGACAAGUGGGCGCAAGCCUGGAUCCGAGCCAUCGGCCGCGUGAGUGAAGAAGGCCUUCGGUUGUAAAGCGUUCUUUCGUACCGGAAAG